rnacentral:rRNA from 1 species
GACGAACGCUGGCGGCGUGCUUAACACAUGCAAGUCGAACGAUGAAGAAAAGAAUCGAAGCUUCGGCAGAAAUUCAUUUCGGAUUAGUGGCAGACGGGUGAGUAACGCGUGAGCAACCUACCUCUUACAAAGGGAUAGCCUCGGGAAACCGGGAUUAAUACCAUAUAACAUUGUGACGACGCAUUUCGAUGCAAUCAAAGCUACGGCGGUAAGAGAUGGGCUCGCGUCCCAUUAACCGGAUGGUGAGGUAACGGCUCACCAUAGUGACGAUGGGUAACCGGACUGAGAGGGUGAACGGUCACACGGGAACUGAGACACGGUCCAGACUCCUACGGGAGGCAGCAGUGGGGAAUAUUGCACAAUGGAGGGAACUCUGAUGCAGCGACGCCGCGUGAGUGAUGAAGGAAUUCGUUUCGUAAAACUCUGUUCUAUGGGAAGAAAAGGGCUGUACCAUAGGAGAAAGCGCCGGCUAAAUACGUG